rnacentral:tRNA from 1 species
AGCAAGGUGGCGCAGUGGAAGCGCGCUGGGCCCAUAACGCAGAGGUCAAUGGAUCGAAACCAUUUCCUGCUG